UGGGGAAUUUUGCACAAUGGGGGAAACCCUGAUGCAGCGACGCCGCGUGAUUUAGAAGGCCUUCGGGUUGUAAAAAUCUUUUCUAUGGGAAGAAAAUGACAGUACCAUAGGAAUAAGGACCGGCUAAUUACGUGCCAGCAGCCGCGGUAAUACGUAAGGUCCGAGCGUUGUCCGGAAUCAUUGGGCGUAAAGGGUACGUAGGCGGGUAAGCAAGUUAGAAGUGAAAUCCUAUAGCUCAACUAUAGUAAGCUUUUAAAACUGCUCAUCUUGAGGUAUGGAAAGGAAAGUGGAAUUCCUAGUGUAGCGGUGAAAUGCGCAGAUAUUAGGAGGAGAACCGGUGGCGAAGGCGACUUUCUGGCCAUAACCUGACGCUGAGGUACGAAAGCGUGGGUAGCAAACAGG
rnacentral:rRNA from 1 species